rnacentral:lncRNA from 1 species
CCGGUGGCAGGUAUGGAACCUAUAGGGGGGCCUGUCACCCGGCACGUGCGCCGGGGGCCGGCCGGGCGGGAGGGGAGGAAGGCCGGCGGGCCGGCAGGGGGCCGACCCCGACCCCGACCCCGACCCGACCCGACCAGAUCCGCCCCGGAGCCCGGGCCUGGCCGGCUGGGCCUCGCUCCCAGCGCCCCUGGCAGGGCUGCCUCGGCGAGGAGGUUCUAAUACUGGCAAGCUGGACUUGUUGGACUUGGGAGAAUUCAGGAAAGAGCACUGUUCUUGGAGUGAGAGCACAUUUGAUCAGCCAGUUGACCUUGGGCAAGUAGUUUGACUUCACUGCCCUGCACUCAUUUC